CGGACGGGUGAGUAAUGCUUAGGAAUCUGCCCAGUAGUGGGGGACAACUCGGGGAAACUCGAGCUAAUACCGCAUACGCCCUAUGGGGGAAAGUGGAGGAUCUUCGGACUUCACGCUAUUGGAUGAGCCUAAGUCGGAUUAGCUUGUUGGUGAGGUAAAGGCUCACCAAGGCGACGAUCCGUAGCUGGUCUGAGAGGACGAUCAGCCACACUGGGACUGAGACACGGCCCAG
rnacentral:rRNA from 1 species